CUCCAGGUUCCAGGUCCCUGCUGACUAGUAAAGCUGAUUUUCACUUCAGCUCCAGAUCCAGGAGGCGCAGACGCUGGGGCAGAGGAAUGGAGCAGUGGAGAUUAAGCAUUCCCUGGAUGCAGGGGGAAGGAAGCUUUUAGGCGGUCCCGGUUCAUCACCUCCUCGAUGCAUAUCAAAGUGCGGUAGAUGCACACCAUGUCGGCCGGUCCAUGUCCCGGUGCCCCCUGGAACGCCGGUGACGACCGAGUACUACCCUGAAGCCUGGAGGUGCAAAUGCGGCAAUAAGUUGUACAUGCCCUGAACCUGCUGGUGCUUCAUUUAGGACAUCGGCUAGAGCAUCAUGUCAUGUGUCUUCCAACUGGAGUAGCAUCAUCCAAGUACAACCAACGAUCACAUAUCUACUUGCAGAUUUAGCUUAUUCGGAGGAGGAUGACGCUACACGACGUCCUCAUUAUAGGAUAGCACCAUUCCAACUCUACUAGUAUUAUUAGAAGUAUCGCACCCUCAGUCGAGCUCUAAGGUAGGAACUCCACCACUCUUUGAUUAUAAAAUAGUGUCCUAAUGUUAAAAUUGAAAUUUUUUUUUUUUUUUUGAGUAUAAAACAGUGUCCUAAUGUUAAUAAUUGAAUUUUUUGAGUUUGUCUAUUGGAGAAA